GACGAACGCUGGCGGCGUGCUUAACACAUGCAAGUCGAACGGAAAGGCCCUGCUUUUGUGGGGUGCUCGAGUGGCGAACGGGUGAGUAACACGUGAGUAACCUGCCCUUGACUUUGGGAUAACUUCAGGAAACUGGGGCUAAUACCGGAUAGGAGCUCCUGCUGCAUGGUGGGGGUUGGAAAGUUUCGGCGGUCGGGGAUGGACUCGCGGCUUAUCAGCUUGUUGGUGGGGUAGUGGCUUACCAAGGCUUUGACGGGUAGCCGGCCUGGGAGGGUGACCGGCCACAUUGGGACUGAGAUACGGACCAGACUCCUACGGGAGGCAGCAGUGGGAAAUAUUGCACAAUGGGCGGAAGCCUGAUGCAGCAACGCCGCGUGCGGGAUGACGGCCUUCGGGUUGUAAACCGCUUUCGCCUGUGACGAAGCGUGAGUGACGGUAAUGGGUAAAGAAGCACCGGCUAACUACGUG
rnacentral:rRNA from 1 species